rnacentral:rRNA from 2 species
CCUACGGGAGGCAGCAGUGAGGAAUAUUGGACAAUGGGAGCAAUCCUGAUCCAGCCAUGCCGCGUGCAGGAAGACUGCCCUAUGGGUUGUAAACUGCUUUUAUACAGGAAGAAAAAGCCCGACGUGUCGGGUGUUGACGGUACUGUAAGAAUAAGGAUCGGCUAACUCCGUGCCAGCAGCCGCGGUAAUACGGAGGAUCCAAGCGUUAUCCGGAAUCAUUGGGUUUAAAGGGUCCGUAGGCGGGAUGAUAAGUCAGUGGUGAAAGUCUGCAGCUUAACUGUAGAAUUGCCAUUGAUACUGUUGUUCUUGAGUUAUUGUGAAGUGGUUAGAAUGAGUAGUGUAGCGGUGAAAUGCAUAGAUAUUACUCAGAAUACCGAUUGCGAAGGCAGAUCACUAACAAUACACUGACGCUGAUGGACGAAAGCGUAGGUAGCGAACAGGAUUAGAUACCCUGGUAGUCUACGCCGUAAACGAUGGUUACUAGCUGUUCGGGUUAAUUGAGACCUGAGUGGCUAAGCGAAAGUGAUAAGUACCCACCGG